GAUGAACGCUAGCGGCAGGCUUAACACAUGCAAGUCGAGGGGGUAUUGGUUUUCGGACCAAGAGACCGGCGCACGGGUGCGUAACGCGUAUGCAAUCUACCUUUUGCAGAGGGAUAGCCCCAGAGAAAUUUGGGAUUAAUACCUCAUAGUAUAGCAGUUUCGCAUGAAACCACUAUUAAAGUCACGACGGGUGAAAGAUGAGCAUGCGUCCCAUUAGCUAGUUGGUAAGGUAACGGCUUACCAAGGCAACGAUGGGUAGGGGUCCUGAGAGGGAGAUCCCCCACACUGGUACUGAGACACGGGACCAGACUCCUACGGGAGGCAGCAGUGAGGAUAUUGGGACAAUGGGCGCAAGCCUGAUCCAGCCAUGCCGCGUGCAGGAUGACGGUCCUAUGGAUU
rnacentral:rRNA from 1 species